rnacentral:rRNA from 1 species
AACGGCCGCAGUACUUUGACUGUGCUAAGGUAGCAAAAUAAAUAGGCUUAUAAUUGAGGUCGAGUAUGAAUGGCACCAUGGGUGAUAACUGUCUCGUAAUAUAUAAAUUAAUUUAAUUAGUAGGUGAAAAUACCUACCAAAAAAAAUUAGACGAGAAGACCCUUAGAGUUUUUAAUAUACUUAUAUUUUAAGAUCUUUUUUGUUGGGGCGACACAGUAUCAUAAAACAUACUUAUUAUUUUUUACUAAUCUAAUUAUAUAGGUGUAUAUAACUACCUAAGGGAUAACAGCAUAAUUUAUUACUAAGAUUGUGACCUCGAUGUUGGACUAGGGACUAAGGAUAUUAGUCAUAUA